rnacentral:sRNA from 1 species
AAAUUUAGAGUAGGAAAAAAAAACAAUAGGAGAAUUCCAUGUUCCUUCCUCAAUCAUCGGAGAGCUCUCUUUGGGCUUUCCAAAAAGGUAUCACAUGCCAAGUUUGGCCUCACGGUCUAAAAGUUAUAGAGUCAUACAUUUUUAACAAAAAAAAAUAGAGAAAAACCAAAAAAAAGAGGGAUGCAACACGAAGACUUUCCUGGAGGUCACCCAUCCUAGUACUACUCUCGCCCAAGCACGCUUAACUGCGGUGUUCUGAUAGGAUCAAGUGCAUUAGUGCUGGUAGGAUCGCAUUCGUUACUACAUGCAAUGCAAUUAUAUAUAUUCUUUUUUGAAGACUUUAUGAUCCAUUUGCGGUAGGUCCCACCAGCUAUGUAGGAAUACCCUAUCUUGCUUAUAAGAGUUUUGAUACAUGCAAAAAUAUUCGAAAACAAUGUCCGAACAUAUAAUUUUUGUCCCGUAAUAUAACAAAGAUCACGAAAAGGCCAAAAAUAGUACAUUUCGGUCAAAACAUGGAGCAGAA